GAUGAAGAACGCAGUGAAAUGCGAUAAGUAAUGUGAAUUGCAGAAUUCAGUGAAUCAUCGAAUCUUUGAACGCAGAUUGCGCCCCCUGGUAUUCCGGGGGGCAUGCCUGUUCGAGCGUCAUUACAACCCUCAAGCUCUGCUUGGUAUUGGGCCCCGCCAGUUCUGGCGGGCCCUAAAGUCAGUGGCGGUGCCUUCCGGCUCCGAGCGUAGUAAUUCUUCUCGCUCUGGAGACCCGGUUGUGUGCUUGCCAACAACCCCCAAUUUUUUAAGGUUGACCUCGGAUCAGGUAGGGAUACCCGCUGAACUUAAGCAUAUCAAUAAGCGGAGGA
rnacentral:misc_RNA from 1 species